UCUUCAUUUUCCUCUACCUUAGCUUGGGUAGCUAAGAUGCGCAUGGUCACCAAUGCACUAGCCUCACGCCCCUCAGCCUCAUACUCUUCAUCUCCAUCACUCUCAUUUUCUUGCAUUUCUUCCCUCUCUUCUUCACUCUCUAUCUCCCCAUUUUCUGUCAUUAUCAUCUCUCUCUUGUUUGGGCAUUGAGAAGCAUAGUGCCUACUCCCUAAACACUUGAAACGCUUAACAUCCCUACUCCUUUGGGGUGCAUUUGAAGCAACAGAAAUGGUGUUCUUCUUGUCUCCCUCACUCUUGUCUUUUCCCUUCCACUCCUUAGAGUAGCUAGGACUGGCUUGGCUUGGUUUCACCAUUCGGCUUCCAUGCUCCCUUGGUGGCUGAAUAUGGCAUGACUCUAAGCUUAGCCAAAAUUUUCUUCUUCAAUUGUUUUUCAACUUUCAUAGCCAUUUGCACCAACUAAUUCAAAUCUGCAUAGUAGUGCAACUUCACAAUGUUGGUAAUUUCAGCAUUUAAAGCACUAUGAAAUCUUGCCAUUGUAGCUUCUGCAUCCUCCUCUAUGUUGGCCCUAAUCAUAGCAAUCUCCAUAGCCUUGUGGUAGUCCUCCACAUUUGGAACCUUGGGUCAAUCUUUGGAGCCUUUGGUGUAGUUCCCUAAUGUAAUGAGGUGGUACAAAUCUGUCUCUCAACAUAUCUUUCAUUUCUUCCCAAGUCCGAAUAGGUCUAGCACCUUUCCUUCUUCUUUUAGCUUGUACCUGAUCCCACCACACAAUGGCAUAUUCCUUAAACUCCACAGCGGCUAAUUUCACCUUCUUUUCUUCUGUAUAGUUAUGGCAAUCAAAGAUUAAGUCCACUUGCCUCUCCCAUUCGAGGCAAACAUCAGGAACAUUUUUGCCAUAA
rnacentral:misc_RNA from 1 species